rnacentral:rRNA from 1 species
CCAAUAGCGUAUAUUAAAGUUGUUGCAGUUAAAAAGCUCGUAGUUGAAUUUCGGGGUCAGUAGGUCGGUCAUGCCACAGGUAUGUACUGGUCUCACUGAUUCCUCCUUCCUGAUGAACCGUAAUGCCAUUAAUUUGGUGUUGCGGGGAGACUGGACUGUUACUUUGAAAAAAUUAGAGUGUUUAAAGCAGGCUAACGCUUGAAUACAUUAGCAUGGAAUAACGGAAUAGGACGACCGAUCUUAUUUUGUUGGUUUCUAAGAUUGACGUAAUGAUUAAUAGGGAUAGUUGGGGGCAUUAGUAUUCAAUUGUCAGAGGUGAAAUUCUUGGAUUUAUUGAAGACUAACUACUGCGAAAGCAUUUGCCAAGGAUGUUUUCAUUAAUCAAGAACGAAAGUUAGGGGAUCGAAGACGAUCAGAUACCGUCGUAGUCUUAACCAUAAACUAUGCCGACUAGGGAUCGGAUGAUGUUAAUUUUUUAAUGACUCAUUCGGCGCCUUACG